rnacentral:rRNA from 1 species
UGCGUAGGCGGAUAAAUAAGUCAGUGGUGAAAUCUCUCGGCUCAACCGGGAAACUGCCAUUGAUACUGUUAAUCUUGAGUUCGGUUGAGGUAGGCGGAAUGUGUAAUGUAGCGGUGAAAUGCUUAGAUAUUACACAGAACACCAAUUGCGUAGGCAGCUUACUAGACCGACACUGACGCUGAGGCACGAAAGCGUGGGUAGCGAACAGGAUUAGAUACCCUGGUAGUCC